rnacentral:rRNA from 1 species
AUGACGAACGCUGGCGGCGUGCUUAACACAUGCAAGUCGAACGGAAAGGCCCUGCUUUUGUGGGGUGCUCGAGUGGCGAACGGGUGAGUAACACGUGAGUAACCUGCCCUUGACUUUGGGAUAACUUCAGGAAACUGGGGCUAAUACCGGAUAGGAGCUCCUGCUGCAUGGUGGGGGUUGGAAAGUUUCGGCGGUUGGGGAUGGACUCGCGGCUUAUCAGCUUGUUGGUGGGGUAGUGGCUUACCAAGGCUUUGACGGGUAGCCGGCCUGAGAGGGUGACCGGCCACAUUGGGACUGAGAUACGGCCCAGACUCCUACGGGAGGCAGCAGUGGGGAAUAUUGCACAAUGGGCGGAAGCCUGAUGCAGCAACGCCGCGUGCGGGAUGACGGCCUUCGGGUUGUAAGCCGCUUUCGCCUGUGACGAAGCGUGAGUGACGGUAAUGGGUAAAGAAGCACCGGCUAACUACGUGCCAGCAGCCGCGGUGAUACGUAGGGUGCGAGCGUUGUCCGGAUUUAUUGGGCGUAAAGGGCUCGUAGGUGGUUGAUCGCGUCGGAAGUGUAAUCUUGGGGCUUAACCCUGAGCGUGCUUUCGAUACGGGUUGACUUGAGGAAGGUAGGGGAGAAUGGAAUUCCUGGUGGAGCGGUGGAAUGCGCAGAUAUCAGGAGGAACACCAGUGGCGAAGGCGGUUCUCUGGGCCUUUCCUGACGCUGAGGAGCGAAAGCGUGGGGAGCGAACAGGCUUAGAUACCCUGGUAGUCCACGCUGUAAACGGUGGGUACUAGGUGUGGGGUCCAUUCCACGGGUUCCGUGCCGUAGCUAACGCUUUAAGUACCCCGCCUGGGGAGUACGGCCGCAAGGCUAAAACUCAAAGGAAUUGACGGGGCCCCGCACAAGCGGCGGAGCAUGCGGAUUAAUUCGAUGCAACGCGUAGAACCUUACCUGGGUUUGACAUGGAUCGGGAGUGCUCAGAGAUGGGUGUGCCUCUUUUGGGGUCGGUUCACAGGUGGUGCAUGGCUGUCGUCAGCUCGUGUCGUGAGAUGUUGGGUUAAGUCCCGCAACGAGCGCAACCCUUGUUCACUGUUGCCAGCACGUUAUGGUGGGGACUCAGUGGAGACCGCCGGGGUCAACUCGGAGGAAGGUGGGGAUGACGUCAAGUCAUCAUGCCCCUUAUGUCCAGGGCUUCACGCAUGCUACAAUGGCUGGUACAGAGAGUGGCGAGCCUGUGAGGGUGAGCGAAUCUCGGAAAGCCGGUCUCAGUUCGGAUUGGGGUCUGCAACUCGACCUCAUGAAGUCGGAGUCGCUAGUAAUCGCAGAUCAGCAACGCUGCGGUGAAUACGUUCCCGGGGCUUGUACACACCGCCCGUCAAGUCAUGAAAGUUGGUAACACCCGAAGCCGAAGGCCUAACCGUUGUGGGGGAGCCGUCGAAGG